CCUACGGGCGGCUGCAGUGGGGAAUAUUGGACAAUGGGGGGAACCCUGAUCCAGCCAUGCCGCGUGUGUGAAGAAGGCCCUUGGGUUGUAAAGCACUUUCAGUGAGGAAGAACGCCUGGUGGUUAAUACCCAUCAGGAAAGACAUCACUCACAGAAGAAGCACCGGCUAACUCCGUGCCAGCAGCCGCGGUAAUACGGAGGGUGCGAGCGUUAAUCGGAAUUACUGGGCGUAAAGCGCGCGUAGGUGGCUUGAUAAGCCGGUUGUGAAAGCCCCGGGCUCAACCUGGGAACGGCAUCCGGAACUGUCAAGCUAGAGUGCAGGAGAGGAAGGUAGAAUUCCCGGUGUAGCGGUGAAAUGCGUAGAGAUCGGGAGGAAUACCAGUGGCGAAGGCGGCCUUCUGGACUGACACUGACACUGAGGUGCGAAAGCGUGGGUAGCAAACAGGAUUAGAUACCCCGGUAGUC
rnacentral:rRNA from 1 species